UACGUAGGCAGCGAGCGUUGUUCGGAGUUACUGGGCGUAAAGGGUGUGUAGGCGGUUGUUUAAGUUUGGUGUGAAAUCUCCCGGCUCAACUGGGAGGGUGCGCCGAAUACUGAAUGACUUGGAGUGCGGGAGAGGAGAGUGGAAUUCCUGGUGUAGCGGUGAAAUGCGUAGAUAUCUGGAGGAACACCGGUGGCGAAGGCGGCGUCCUGGACCAAUACUGACACUGAGGAGCGAAAGCCAGGGGAGCAAACGGG
rnacentral:rRNA from 1 species